CGUAGGGAGCAAGCGUUGUCCGGAAUCAUUGGGCGUAAAGCGCGCGUAGGCGGCCCUGUAAGUCCGCUCUGAAAGUCAAAGGCUCAACCUUUGAAAGCGGGUGGAUACUGCAGGGCUAGAGUCCGGAAGAGGCGAGUGGAAUUCCUGGUGUAGCGGUGGAAUGCGCAGAUAUCAGGAGGAACACCAACGGCGAAGGCAGCUCACUGGGACGGUACUGACGCUGAGGCGCGAAAGCGUGGGGAGCAAACAGGAUUAGAUACCCUGGUAGUCCACGCUGUAAACGAUGGGCAUUAGGUGUGGGAGGUGUCGACUCCUCCCGUGCCGGCGCUAACGCAUUAAAUGCCCCGCCUGGGGAGUACGGCCGCAAGGCUA
rnacentral:rRNA from 1 species